GGGGGAUUAGCUCAGCCGGUAGAGCGCCUGCCUUGCAAGCAGGAGGUCGGCGGUUCGACUCCGCCAUCCUCCA
rnacentral:tRNA from 1 species